AGGGUUUGAUCAUGGCUCAGGAUGAACGCUGGCGGUAUGCUUAACACAUGCAAGUCGAACGAAAGUUUUUAACUUUAGUGGCGAACGGGUGCGUAAUACGUGAGAAUCUGCCCUUAGGAGGAGUAUAACUGCUGGAAACGGCUGCUAACACUCCAUAUGUCGAGAGAUGAAAUAAUUUAUUGCCUAAGGAUGAGCUCGCGCCUGAUUAGCUAGUUGGUGAGGUAAUGGCUCACCAAGGCCACGAUCAGUAGCUGGUUUGAGAGAACGAUCAGCCACACUGGGACUGAGACACGGCCCAGACUCCUCCGGGAGGCAGCAGUGAGGAAUUUUCCGCAAUGGGCGAAAGCCUGACGGAGCAAUACCGCGUGAGGGAUGACGGAUUUUGGUCUGUAAACCUCUUUUCUCAAGAAAGAAGUUCUGACGGUACUUGAGGAAUAAGCAUCGGCUAACUCCGUGCCAGCAGCCGCGGUAAUACGGGGGAUGCAAGCGUUAUCCGGAAUCAUUGGGCGUAAAGCGCCUGUAGGUUGUUUAAUAAGUCUGUUGUUAAAGACUAGGGCUUAACCCUAGAAAAGCAAUGGAAACUGUUAGACUAGAGUAUGGCAGGGGUAGAGGGAAUUUCUAGUGUAGCGGUGAAAUGCGUAGAUAUUAGAAAGAACACCGGUGGCGAAAGCGCUCUACUGGACCAUUACUGACACUCAGAGGCGAAAGCUAGGGUAGCAAAAGGGAUUAGAUACCCCUGUAGUCCUAGCCGUAAACGAUGGAUACUAGAUGUUGUGUUUUAUAUACAGUAUCGU
rnacentral:rRNA from 1 species